rnacentral:rRNA from 1 species
CCUACGGGAGGCAGCAGUGAGGAAUAUUGGUCAAUGGGCGAGAGCCUGAACCAGCCAAGUCGCGUGAGUGAGUACUGCCCUAUGGGUUGUAAACCUCUUUUGUCGGGGAGCAAAAGCCGGACGUGUCCGGCUGUGAGAGUACCCGAUGAAAAAGCAUCGGCUAACUCCGUGCCAGCAGCCGCGGUAAUACGUGGUAUGCUAGCGUUAUCCGGAUUUAUUGGGUUUAAGGGGUGCGCAGGGGGAUUUUUAAGUCUGCGCUCAAAUCGUGGGGUUAAACCCCAGCCAGCCGUUGAAACUGGGGGUCUGGAGUGUGCGAGAGGUAUGCGGAAUGCGUGGUGUAGCGGUGAAAUGCAUAGAUAUCACGAAGAACCCCGGUUGCGAAGGCAGCAUACCGGUGCACAACUGACGCUCAGGCACGAAAGCGUGGGGAUCAAACAGGAUUAGAUACCCUAGUAGUC